AGAAGAUGAAAAAAGUUCGUGGUCUAUUCAGGAUUUUAAGCAAAGCUUUGCUACUGUACUUAGUGAUCCCACGGUUCGAGAAAAAAUAGAUCUGCUUAGCAGAGAUUGGGGUUCUUCCUUUACUUCUCCUACAAUUCCAUAUAUAAGUUAUCCCCAUAUUACUUUUAAGAGUUCUGUCUUUUCCCCAGCAUUCCUUUUGCAG